rnacentral:tRNA from 1 species
UCCCCGAUGGUCCAGUGGCUAAGAUUCUGUGCUUCCAAUGUAGGGCACUCUGGUUCAAACCCUGGUCAGGGAA